GACGAAGGAUGCAAGCGUUAUCCGGAUUCAUUGGGUUUAAAGGGAGCGUAGGUGGCCAAAUAAGUCAGUGGUGAAAUCUCUGGGCUUAACCCAGAAAUUGCCAUUGAUACUGUAUGGCUUGAGUGUAGUUGCCGUUGGCGGAAUAUGACAUGUAGUGGUGAAAUACAUAGAGAUGUCAUAGAACACCGAUUGCGAAGGCAGCUGACGAAACUAUAACUGACACUGAGGCUCGAAAGUGCGGGGAUCAAACAGG
rnacentral:rRNA from 1 species